GACGAACGCUGGCGGCGUGCUUAACACAUGCAAGUCGAACGGAAAGGCCCUGCUUUUGUGGGGUGCUCGAGUGGCGAACGGGUGAGUAACACGUGAGUAACCUGCCCUUGACUUUGGGAUAACUUCAGGAAACUGGGGCUAAUACCGGAUAGGAGCUCCUGCUGCAUGGUGGGGGUUGGAAAGUUUCGGCGGUUGGGGAUGGACUCGCGGCUUAUCAGCUUGUUGGUGGGGUAGUGGCUUACCAAGGCUUUGACGGGUAGCCGGCCUGAGAGGGUGACCGGCCACAUGGGGACUGGGAUACGGCCCAGACUCCUCCGGGGGGCAGGAGGGGGGAAUUUUGCACAAGGGGCGGAAGCCUGAUGCAGCAACGCCGCGGGGGGGAUGACGGCCUUCGGGUUGUAAACCGCUUUCGCCUGUGACGAAGCGUGAGUGACGGUAAUGGGGAAAGAAGCACCGGCUAACUACGU
rnacentral:rRNA from 1 species